GCACCAAUGGAGUGCGGGCUGGAAUGACUCUUAAUCAGUGGGCCCAGGGUUCGAGUCCCUGGAGGUGCA
rnacentral:tRNA from 1 species